UACGGAGGGUGCGAGCGUUGUCCGGAAUCACUGGGCGUAAAGGGCGCGCAGGUGGUGCGGUAAGACUGCCGUGAAAUCUCCUGGCUCAACUGGGAGGGUGCGGUGGAGACUGCCGGACUAGAGGCACUCAGAGGCCGGUGGAAUUCCCGGUGUAGUGGUGAAAUGCGUAGAGAUCGGGAGGAACACCAGUGGCGAAGGCGGCCGGCUGGGGGUGACCGUGACGCUGAGGCGCGAAAGCGUGGGGAGCGAACAGG
rnacentral:rRNA from 1 species